rnacentral:rRNA from 1 species
AUACAGAGGGUGCAAGCGUUAAUCGGAAUUACUGGGCGUAAAGCGCGCGUAGGCGGUUUGUUAAGUCGGAUGUGAAAGCCCUGGGCUCAACCUGGGAACUGCAUUCGAAACUGGCUGACUAGAGUAUGGUAGAGGGUGGUGGAAUUCCUAGUGUAGCGGUGAAAUGCGUAGAUAUUAGGAGGAACAUCAGUGGCGAAGGCGACCACCUGGACCAAUACUGACGCUGAGGUGCGAAAGCGUGGGGAGCAAACAGGAUUAGAAACCCCGGUAGUCC